rnacentral:rRNA from 1 species
UACGAAGGGGGCUAGCGUUGCUCGGAAUCACUGGGCGUAAAGGGUGCGUAGGCGGGUCUUUAAGUCAGGGGUGAAAUCCUGGAGCUCAACUCCAGAACUGCCUUUGAUACUGAGGAUCUUGAGUUCGGGAGAGGUGAGUGGAACUGCGAGUGUAGAGGUGAAAUUCGUAGAUAUUCGCAAGAACACCAGUGGCGAAGGCGGCUCACUGGCCCGAUACUGACGCUGAUGCACGAAAGCUAGGGGAGCAAACAGG